rnacentral:rRNA from 1 species
AUUGAACGCUGGCGGCAGGCCUAACACAUGCAAGUCGAGCGAGCGGCGGACGGGUGAGUAAUGUAUGGGGACUGCCCGAUAGAGGGGGAUAACUACUGGAAACGGUGGCUAAUACCGCAUACUAUCGGAUAACCCAUAUGGGAUUAGCUAGUAGGUGGGGUAAAUGCGCACCUAGGCGACGAUCCCUAGCUGGUCUGAGAGGAUGAUCAGCCCCAUUGGCACUGGGACAAGGCCCAGACUCCUACGGAGGGAGCAGGGGGGAUUAUAUGACAAGGGGCGCAAGCCUGAUUCAGCCAUGCCGCGUGUAUGAAGAAGGCCUUAGGGUUGUAAAGUACUUUCAGCGGGGAGGCGUGACCCGCAGAAGAAGCACCGGCUAACUCCGUGCCAGCCGCCGCGGUAAUAC